AUUUAGAGAGUGCCUAGUGUGUGUCAAGAACUGUGCUAAGGCUGGGACCGGGAAGUGCGUGUGUGAAUUGACCAUUCCGUGCAUUGCCAUAGUGAAGGUGCGGACAGAGUGCCACAGGCCAGAGAAGAAGGUAACCACACUUCAACUGUUAACUUUCUGGCUCAGUGCUUAGUUGUGCUUGGCAACAAAUACUGCCAGAGGAAGAAGAGCACAGGCUCUGGACACGCAGGCUCAGCGGCCAUGGCUCACGGGCCCAGCCGCUCCACGGCAUGUGGGAUCUUCCCGGACCGGGGCACGAACCCGUGUUUCCUGCAUCGGCAGGCGGACUCUCAACCACUGCGCCACCAGGGAAGCCCUUUAUUUAAUCUUUAAUUACCUACAAAGCUAAGAAUUAUGGAUACAGCAGUGAAGUGGUCAGGAAUGGUCCCACCCUGCCCUCACCAAGCUCAUAGCCUAUUGAUUGAAGAAGCCAGACACUGAACAGGUGAUUACAAGCACAGGGUAUUAUUCACUGGAUAUGAAGAUCUGAAGUCAUUAAAAGCAACCCGGUGUUACGUGCUCACCUCUUUAAGGUUUUGAUCCCUCC